rnacentral:tRNA from 1 species
GAAGCGUGCCUGAAAGCUAGGGGCCUCCUUGAUAGGGAGAUUCAUAGGGGUUCAAACCCCCUCACUUCCU